AACGAACGCUGGCGGCAGGCCUAACACAUGCAAGUCGAGCGAGGACUUCGGUUCUAGCGGCGGACGGGUGAGUAACGCGUGGUAAUGUUCCCUUCUCUACGGAAUAUCCCUGGUAAACUGGUAGUAAUACCGUAUACGCCCUUUUGGGGUAAGAUUUAUCGGAGAAGGAUCAGCCCGCGUUGGAUUAGGUAGUUGGUUGGGUAAUGGCCUACCAAGCCGACGAUCCAUAGCUGGGUUGAGAGGAUGAUCAGCCACACUGGGACUGAGACACGGCCGAGACUACUACGGGAGGCAGCAGUGGGGAAUAUUAGAAAAUGGGGGCAAACCUGAUAUAGCCAUGCCGGGUGAGUGAUGAAGGCCUUAGGGUUGUAAAGCUCUUUAAGAUGGGAAGAUAAUGACGGUAACAGCAGAAGAAGCACCGGCUAACUACGUG
rnacentral:rRNA from 1 species